UACGUAGGUGGCAAGCGUUAUCCGGAUUUACUGGGUGUAAAGGGCGUGUAGGCGGGAAAGCAAGUCAGAUGUGAAAACCACGGGCUCAACCUGUGGCCUGCAUUUGAAACUGUUUUUCUUGAGUACUGGAGAGGCAGACGGAAUUCCUAGUGUAGCGGUGAAAUGCGUAGAUAUUAGGAGGAACACCAGUGGCGAAGGCGGUCUGCUGGACAGCAACUGACGCUGAGGCUCGAAAGCGUGGGGAGCAAACAGG
rnacentral:rRNA from 1 species